CUCCAGUUUAGCGUGGCGCACGGGAGCUGACCGAGUGGGUGGCAGGGGUCCCCAAGUGGGCAGUGGGGGUCCAUGGGCCGGUUAAACGACCUCCAUGGGCCGCUUGAGGCCCAUGGGCUUUAGGUUGCCGACCCCUGGUAUAUGAUAAUCCUACAUUUUACGGCAGAGAUGGAGAACUUAUGGCUUUCCAAAUAUUGCUGGACACCUCCCAUCAUCCCUCUGAGAAGUUGGUAGCCAAGAAAUUCCCUGGUUACUUCAAGUCAAUAUGUAAAAUUCAUCUCCCUGCUUGUUGCAGCAUUUGGCCCAGGUGGUUAUCAUGUCACAGUGCUUCAGUGACACAAGCCAAAAUCAGCAAAGUCUAGACCAGGGAGUAGAAAACCUGAGACUCUCUGGAAGUUUUUAGCCUCUCCAUUUCUCAUAAGCUCCAGCUAACAUGACAGGAUGAUGGGUACUGUAGCUCAACAACAUCUGGAAUGUCGCAAGUUCCCCAGCCUUGAGUUUGACUAAGCAUUUCUAUGCAUCCUUGUGUCCAUCAGCUAGUUAUUCUACCUAGCUUCUUCCAAGAGAGUGAAGUGAGGCAUCCUCCAUUAGCUCAGGUAAGGCCAACUGCUAUUUUGCCCCUCCCCUCCCCAAACCACCUUCAUCAGCUGCCAUCAUACCUGGAUGAGGCAGAUGGAGAAAUGACACAGCAAGAAGCCUUCAGAGCAACUGCCAUUUGGCUCCUCCCCCUCGCAGAACUGUCUCCCACAACAAGCAUUCCAUUUGGCCGUUAUGGGACUUCAUGAUGCGUAAUCCUAUGAAAGCACUGACACCUGCAUAAGCUUAGUUUCCUUCUUCCUCUCAUCAAAUUCCCAUUUGUAUCCCGUCUUCCGAGACUGCAGGUCAUUAUUAUAAAACAUAAAACACCUUGAGUGCUUGGCAGAGUGGUGGCAUAUCAGUGUAGGAAAUAAAUACGCAUAUUUGGAAUUAGCUGAAACGCUCACGCCAGAUGAGUCAAAUUGGUGUUAGAGAUUUCACCACAACGAGCACAAUACAAUAUAGAUAUAAUGCUGACUUUCCUCUACCUCCUAUGUUAGUUUCUAAAUCAGGAGCCUUUGAGCAGGCUGACAGUUAAUAACAGCUUAGAGCCAAUUCCUGGGCUGCUGACCUGCUUUGGUCUGUUCUGUUUCCUUGCCAGCAGCUUGAGCAAAGAGAGUAGUUCAGUUGUUGGGCCUGGAGCUGAGAGGAUUCUCUGCUAAUCCUUUCCAGCCUGGUGGGUUCACACCUCAGAAUUAUAGCAGCAAUAUGUCAUCUCUCCAUGUCAGUAGACAUUCAGGUCUAAAUAGACCCCCUUGGGCACUUGGCAAACUCGUCCCUUCCACAAAGGGCAAGGAUUUGCAGAACUGGAUGAGCUGGAAGGAAGCUGCAGCAGCGCUGGGUGAUAAUAGCGCGGACUAGGUAGAUAUAACCCAUCGCCAUUUGCAUAUUUUGUCAGUGAACUGAAUAUAACCAUCUGUGAAAGAAGAUGGCUUCUAACAGGUGAAAUGAAACAACUGUCACGUUGAGGGAGGACUCAAGAUAAUGCCUUUGGAACACCAAGGCAAUAUGCUUGGACAGAACAUCUGUGCCGAAGCAUCUGGUACGCCUAGCUGUUUGCAUUGCAGGAGUUUUGUUUAAAUAUGAAAGUUAAGGGAGAGCAGGAGGGUGAUUUGCAGUGCCGAGCACACAGAUUGCUUGAUGGAUGGUGUGCAGAAUAUUUUCCUGACAGAUCAACUAAGGAAAGUUAUUCAGCUUAAAUUAUAUUUUAUCUUUGGUUUCAUGCACAGUGAUAGAGGAGAAUCUCAUUUGGUCUGCAUUUCUAAGUGAACUGACAUAAUUUGCAGCUCCUGGACUAAUCCAUGAAUUGGUACUAUCUCACUUUUCUGAAUUUUGCUGUAUAAUUUUAAGCUAAAAGGAGGAAAAAAAAAGAUGUAGUAUUGGUGAAAUGAAAUUUGGUACAAUGUACCAAAUUUCAUUAAGCAUGCAUGCUUUAGAAUAUAGUACAUCUAGAAAUGCUAACACUGAGAUAAAAUACAUAUUUAAAUGUGUCAAAAACAUAUUUAAAUAUGAGUUUUUUUUUGUUUUUUUUUUAAAAAAGUUCAUACAUUAAUGCACAAAUGGAAUGAAACAACCUGAGGAACAACUACAUCUGAAAUUGGCAUGGUCUGAAAACAGGCUGAUCCAUCCAUUCCUAACCAUAACUAGAAUGCAGUGAUAUUUGAAGAGAAUUUGGCAGCUCAUCUUUAGGUGAAAUCUCUGAAGAAUUUUUGAUGAAAGCCAAAUUUUCAAUUAGAACUCUCAGUGGGGUUUCAUGCAUCCCUUCUUGGCACCAGAGGAAAAUUCAUAGCAAGUUUAGACUCUUCUGCAUGUAAAACCGCCAAGCAGGUAAAAGACAAUAGGGCUUUCAAUAUGUUAGCGAAAAAAUUAUCCGGAAGCUUUCACACAUCCCUAGUUAUAGGGAUGGACUGAGGAAGUUUCUUGAAGUCACAGAACUAUUAUUGUUCACACAUCUCUUCUACAACAGAUUGAAAGGACAGAAAAUCCAGUUGAAAAAACGAAAUGAAAGGAAGGGAGACAUUAACUUCAUGUGCCCUUGUCACCUGUAGAGCCCUGUGUAAAAUCCUGGAGAGCUGCUGUCAAUCAAUGUAGACAAGGCUGAGGUAAAUAGAUCAAUGGUCAGGAUAAGGCAGCUUCCUGUUUUCUUAUGUUCCUUCUAAACCACCAACAUGAAGCAUUUUUAAGGGGUGGAAACAGAUUGGGAUAACAUUAGAAUGGUAUUUAUGUACCAGUGGGUACAAACAUUCCAGAGAUUGCUGGAUUCCUGUCUUUGGGAACAUACCCUCCUGCUGAAUCUGAUCAGGGAUCCUUCCAUAUUUGUAUUGUCUAUACAGACAAUCCCCGUUUUGCACGGGGGUUGUGUUCUGGAUCCCCCAUGUGCAUCGGCGGAAUGCACGUAAGCCCGCUCUGCCACACCUCCCCUUGCUGACCAAAAAAGAUUCCAUUGAGCACAUGGAUUGAUAAUAUGGACAGAUUAGCUACAUACAAGUGAAUUGCAUGUCAACGCAAAAUAAGAAUGGAUAAAUAGGAAGAAAUCUGGAACAAAUAUUUAAGCGAUAAGGCGGAUAGUGGUAGGAAGGAGGGGGAAGAGAGAGAGAGGUGGGAAAAUAUUGUUAAAAAGGUGUAGUCAUAGGUAUGUCAGUGAAUUCAAAUCUGAAUUGUCAAAUUGUGUUAUUAUUGUUAUUACGGUUUUUGUUGUAUGUGUCUUUUGCAGUUGUUAUUUGUAUCGAAAAAAUGAUUAAAUAAUUUUUUUUAAAACCCUCCCCUUGCUGACCCUUAACGCCCUUUUCCGAACCUUUUCAUCACAUCUUUACAAUGUUUUGGGCUACUUCCAGGCUUGGUGCUGGGCAUGCAUGGCGAUUGCGUGUCACUCAGAUGCGCCUCAAUCAGUUGUUGCCUGUACUGUCUGGCAGAAACUCUCCAGGGUUUCAGACAAGGGUCUUUUCUAGCUUUGCCUGGUGAUGCCAGGGACUUAGCCUUGUUUUAUACAAAGCCUGUGUUCUUCUACA
rnacentral:lncRNA from 1 species